UCAUUAAGUUAUCCAUAUCCUUUGUGAAGCAGAAGUCUUUAUAUGCAGUCAAGACACUGCCUAUCUGAACAGUUGGGUUGAUGGAGGAAUUGACUGGGUGGUCUUGCUCUCUUCAAACACGUUAACAUAUGAAGUGACAAUUCGCAAAGCACUCAUAUGGUAAAAUACCCUGAAUAUUAAAAGUGCUGACUAGCUUUACUCUGCUUGGAAUUGACGUGUCACAAUUUUAGGAUCUCAAACCCCUUAUUAAUACUACUUUUAGUUUAACCUAAAGAUGUAGAUGACGAUAUAGUAGUUGAUACUAAUCCCCAGAAAUACUCAUGGAUGUUACAUUUUCAGAUACCUCCUAGCACUCAAGCAUGAAUUCCUGCUUGGGAGACGUGUGCCUCUCUGUCCUGACACAGCUUGGCUUGUUCUCCAGAAGCUUUGUCCACACCCACAAGUAACUGUACAGUACAAACAAAGUGAAGAGUGCUCUGCACACAGGACGAGAGUGGUGUGUGUGUGUGUUGGGGAGGGUAGUUCGUGGGGUGGGGAUGGGCAGCCGCACAGAAGGGGCAGCAGUUGAGCUACAUCAUUAAGAGUAGAUGGGAUUUAAAAGAGAUUGGGACAGGGAACUCAAGAGAGCACUGAUCUAAGAGUGUAGUUAAGCUUCUGUCUACUUGAAAAAUAGACAACUAUUUUCUGGACAAUUAAGUCUUAUUCAGUACAGACCUAUGAGCUCAUUAAACAUUUUUGUGUGCAUGACUAGAUAAUCUCAGAUUAGUCAGAAAUUUUAGUCCAUAAUGAGAUACAGAGUAUCUAAACAUCGAGAGUUUGUUCUUAUUACCUUGCCUGUUUCUACUGUAACACUAAAAAUAUUUAGAAUGCAUGUGAUUUUUUUUGGAGUUGAAUAGAACUUGCUAGGUAGGCCAUUGCCACCUUUUCAAAGACAGCAUUUAUAUUUGUAGCAUGUUGUUCAGUAUAUACAAAAAGACCGAAUAAAACUCAAGUCUCCCCAGUAAUAGACUAUUGGACCAAUCUAUUUCUCACAGUGUAUAUCUUUCAGACUCAAUGAUUUAAGAUGAUAAAGUGAUCGUUCCUUAGUAUUUAUACUAUUUCUAGUUCAUACGACUUGGUUCACUCUGAAACACUGGAUUUGUGUGUCAGUUUUCUUACCCGCAUCACUCAGGUAUCACCUGCAUAGAAGCUGAGGGGAAGGUGAUAAAAUCGCAGAUAUUUCCAAGAUGAAGCUUUAGUUGGACAGCUUUUUACCUCUCCAUUGUUGUUUUAGAAGCUUAGUUGAUAGCAACACCUUGCAUUUUAAUGAAGAACCACCGGCAAGAAAGGCAAUCCAUUUAAAUAGCCCUUCAGGGGGAAAGGUUUGUCAGUUUGUUCUGAAGGGCCUUUUGAGCUAGAUUGUGUGUAGUCCCCAUGCCAUCUCUAACUCUGAUUUUUAUUGUGCACUCCUUCCGAGAAUCUUCCCUGUCCAGUUUGAGAAGCAGCCAGCCCCACUGUGGAACUCUGAGCAGAUGUGAAGAACUGGCCACCCCCUUCAGGGUGAGACACCCUGUGGAAUGAAGCACAGCUGACAAGACUUUUGUAAAGACUGAAGACAAAUUAAAGUCCAGAAACUGGGCCGAUAUCGCCAAGUCUCAGUUUGGAGAGAUGCCUAAGUGCCUCAUUGCCACUGUCUAAGGUGGGUAGUUAGGUUGCAGGCUUCAACUAAGCAUCAGGGGCCCGAAUAGGGAGGGAGAAGGGUGAAGCUGGUUUUUCUCCUUCUGGGCAGCAUACUGGUAAGUGAAUGGCUUCUAUCCUUUCUUUCUUUAGAAAAAGGAAAUGCUCCCUUCCUGAAUAGAGACUAGGAGGAAAGGAGGACGACGGACCCAAUUGCGGAAUCCCAGCUGAUACAGGAUAGAAGAUCUGGUGAUGCCAAUGUCAGUUGGAGCAGUGGUACAGGAGCAGAAGAUAACUGACGGUGAGGAAGAGUGACUCACCUCUUUGAAGCUCAUUUUAAGCGAAAAGCUUUCUGUGAUGACUUGAAUUUAGAACGGUGAGUUGGUGAGUUGGUGAGUUGCUUUGCAGGGGAGUUGUCACGCAUCUGUUGAGGAAGUUGGUGACCACGUCCCAGUGCUUUGUCACACUGAUUGGAUGUUGGAAUGUACUGUGACCUUGAAGGAGCGAUGCCACAUGCUGAAGACGCCAUGAUGUCACUAAUAAAAGGACGCAGCCACUGCCUUACACUCAGAGAAAAUCCUGCAUUUGAGUGAUGGGUAUGAAUGUGUUCUUUUAUAAUUGGAUGCAUGAAUGCUGUAUUUCCUCGUUUAAAUUAAAUCUGAGACUAAGCCCCUACCUGCCAAAGUAGAGAGAUGCCCAGCGCCAGUUACUGGGGUGAGGAUUUUCCUAAGGUUUCCCAUGAGUUCCAGAGCCCUGACACAGUUCUGAAAUGCUGUGAACGUGUCCUUGUUCUUACCUGUAUUGGUUGCCGCUGACUCAUUAUUUAAGGCAACAUGAUCCAUUUUAAAGGCAAAUUGGGCGCAGCAAUCAUUUGUCAGGGCUCUGAGCUGCAGGAUUUGGUUCACCCUUUCCAGGUAAAAAUGCACUUGGGCAUCCUCUUUGCCUUCUCAUUUGAAGGAAGGCUAACCCACCCCUCUUCCCUUGCCACCUGCUGCCCCUUUCAACCCCCAUGUAAAGUGUUAGAACUCUGAUCACAAAGACAUGGCUGCAUUCUUAUAAUAGGGAAAAUACUGUUCAUGAUUUUGCUUCUUAGAGUUGUAAGUAAAAUGCAAAUGGUCACUUCCAUAGACGUCAUGCCACCGUCCUGCAUGCCAGAAAUCACGCUCAAAACUUUGUAUCCAGUACCUCUAAACCUCGAUCAUUUUGCAUGGUCUUGACCUUGUUUCAUAAAUGAGAAAACCAAGCCCCCAGGAAUAUCAGUCACCUGUCCAAGGACAUACGGCUGUGUAAAGAGCUUGGAUUAGAGGAUUGAAUUUUUAAUAUCUGAGACUUCAGUACAUAUUUCUUGGUAGAUGACUUGAUGAUUGACUCAGAAUGAGAGAGAAAAGGCACUUGGCUGGCUAUUUGAAGAACUUCACACCUUGUCAUUCUAUUUAUAUUUUAGAGUAUUCAGCUUAAGUGUUUUUGCAUUUUGCCUUUGAAGAGGAGGACAAGGUGAACGUUAAAUACAGAUGAAAUUGUGACUGCGGCUAAGUGACUCCUCCGGCAUGAAGGGUGGUCUCCUGCAGGAAGCCUGCUUGUUUACGUGAAUGUCUCAAGACCUGCUUUUGAUUUCUGGGCCAGGCCAUGUUUGUACGGGCGCAGAAAGAACUCUCUGGCUUCCCCCAACCCCGCCGUUCCUCCAGUGUAACACACCCUGCAAAGCACUGCUUGGGAACACAGACGUGCAUGUUCACAGCCACUCUGUGCCGUCAAUAAGGGAGAUGGAAAAGAAAACAAAACUGAUUUCAACUAAGGAAUUGCCUGGAGGUGGCAGACACGGUGUCCCGUACGGUGAUGAGAAUGAUUCCGCCGAUGCCGUGUUCCCUGUUUGAGCUCUCUGCACAGCACAGCGCAUCACUGUUGCGUGUGGAACACGUUUAAUCAUCUGAUCCCUGUUUUGCAGGUGAGGAAACUGAAGCCUCGGGUGUCUAAGUCUGCCUAAGAACGUGAGUUUCAACUAGUGUGGCUGAGUUUUUUUCUGUGCUUUUUCUCUCUAGGGUGAAGGUGGAUGUGAACGCAGGAGUGUGAUAGUGUUUCUUGCUCCUUCCCGUGUCCCGGAAAUGCUGUCUGUGUCCUUGGAGAAAACUUUCUGGAGCAGCCUUAUGAUCAUGACUCAUUUAUUCUUCUGUCCUUUCUCACACGUGGCACUUGGCACGGUCUAAUGUACAUUUAUUUGUUCGGAAUGGUGUGUUUUUAGUGGUGGCAGAAACUCUGUUUAAUUUGCUGCUGAUUCCCAGCACCUGGAACAAUAAUACCUGGCUUGCAAGAGUCAUUAAAUAAAUAUUUACUGAACGAAUGUCUGACUCCACUCGACCCCAGUUCAGUCUGCUCAAGCCUGUGCUCUGCAUUGCUGCAGAUUCUAAGAUUGAAAGGCUUAACCCCGACCUAUCCAGGACAGACUUUGCAUCCCUCGCCCACUGACUGCCCACUUCACAGAACUGGUCUGGGGCGGCGAAGCUCUCAUCACCCGUAGUAUACCAUUUCUAGCUACGAACAACUUUCAACCACCAUGAACUUCAUCUGGGAUGUCCUUGUGUCUUGAAAUUAUUCUAAGUCCUUGACAUGCUGAAUAAAAGCCAGGUUAAGAAACCUUCAUUUUAUCUAUAAAACUAAUCAGGAGACUCAGAUCAUUCAGUCCUAACAUCUGUGAACGUCAGUCAUUUUGAGAAGCAGAGAAAACUCAACCAGCCAAUUUAUUUUGAUAAACAAGACUGAAUAGGUAUUCAAUGCAAACUGUUAGGGAGUGCCACAUGCCCCAUAAAUCCUUUAAAGAAAAAAAUCCCAAAAUACCAAAACUAGGUCUUUUUUAUUUCUCUUCCUUAGAAAUCUUGAACCUAGUAUUAAGUUUGCUUUGAGAAAAGAAAAGAAAACGUAAAAGGCAUUUCUGUCCUAGGCCAGCUCGUGUGCUUCUCCAGGGCCUUCUGGGUUAGAGCAGUCUUUCAGGUGCCUAAGUUCUAGCGGGGCUUCUGCUAGGUUGUACUUGUUGAGAUGAUCUCCCAAAUCCUGGCCUUAAAACUUUGAUCAGAUGAUACAAACCGUUGGUCUCUCAGCUGCAUCUGGCCCCAGGUCUGUUUUGUUUGGAUGUGUUUUACAUCUGUCACCAACAUUCCAAAAUUGGGGCAGUUCAUGUUAAAACUUCUAUUUCCACUUCUCUUGAAAUACCCGAAGAUUUGUCCGUCCUGGACCUACACGCUGUUAUGACACGACAUUGGGCUGAAGUUGAACAGUGGCCGUCCUGGAGAUAGAUCCUGAACUCUCCAGUUUGCCAUAGUCCUCUCCACCCUCUCGUAGUGUCCAUGCUUGCUUCCUUCCAUUGCUUGUCCAGUUCCUGCAGAAUUGAGGCAAUAACUGAUUCAAGGUGGGCUUAGAAAAACUAAACUCUUGGUCAUCGCUUCAUGCCUUUGCUCUCUCUUCCUGCAAGUGUUGUGAGUCGGUGCUUUCUGCAGAAAUGCUCAAGUUUCACGAGGAUGGCAAAACUGAUCAAAGCCCUUGGGAAAUGCUCAAAGAACUGUUUUUUCAUUUUCGUUUUUGUUUUUUCUUUUUUUUUUUUAAGUGGAAGUCCUGGGGAAUAAACCAAGUACCUCAUGCAUGCUCAGCAUGUGCUCUACCAAGUGAGCUACACCUCCACCCCCAAAGAACUGUUCUGAAGACUGGCUUGUUUUUCUGUUUCUACUGAGAUGGGAAUAUCCAACUCAGUGCCUGUGAGAUCAAAGAAGAUAGACUGUAGCCGUCUCCUCCUUCCUGAGCUUUCCCCCGUCAGGAGGAGGCUCAGUGGACACUCUCGGUAGACCUCCGACAGGCUGUGCUAAUCACUAGAGCUGGCACCAGCCAUCGUUUGUGUGCAGCGGCCUAAGCACAUUGACAAUCCGUCUUCCGCCCUCCCACUCCUUUAGAUUUUCAACACUCUUCUCCUUUUGCAGCCCAUUUUAGUUGACUUUUAUGAGACACAGUGAAUAGAAACCUUAAUGUCAGCGCCAUUAAAUCAGUACCUACAGAAAUAAUCUGGAAAUGCUAAACCCUGGCAGGAAGCAUGUUCCAAUUAGUACUGAUAAAAGUACAGUGAGCUGAAAACAAAAGUGACUUCAGCAAGGAGGAAGGAGAAAGGGUACAACUCCUCCAGCUCACUUGGAAUAGGCAGAGAAUCUCAAGAACUAAUCUUCCUCGUUAAGUGUUUCAACUAUUUUGAAAAGACAGUCUCCCUUGUUUUCUUAAUUUACUUCACCCAUUGAAAAGGACACGAAUGGUCCUUUGCAAGGAUAGGGCUUUAGGAUUUUGAGACUCUGAAGAUUUGUGUGGUUGUGUGCAUGCACGCUGUAUGAGAGAGAUCGGAUUCGAAUUUUAGUUGCUGUGUUCUAGCUGCAUGUCUUUGAGACACCACAGAGUUUGCACUGUUUCCAUUGGGCCAUCACUGGGACUUGUGUUGGGAAAAAUCAUGCCAACUUUCCAUGAUCUUCAGAGAGAUCAUUUGAUUGGCUAUGUGCAGAUCAGAUCUGAAUCUUACAUGGUUAUAAUAAACUUGGAAAACUCUUACCUACUUGGGAGUAUGUUUUAUCUGUGAAGAAACUGUUAAGUUGAAAAUACUAUUACCUUUUUUACCUAGGUAGCUCCUUCUUACCCUUUAUAACUAUUUAUUCAAGAAUCCUUUAAAGCUCCCACCCCCUCUCUGUCUGAGCUAGUGUGCCUUCUGUUGGCUCCCAGAACAGCUUCUGUAAUCCUCUAAUACACUAUUGUAUGAUCAACGUCUUGUCUCCGCCAGAUUCCAGGCAGUGUCUCCUUGAAACAGUGUCUGUUUCUUUCAUCUUUUUACCAUCAGUACUUGUCACAUGACAGGCACUUAGUGUGUGAUGACUGAAUAAAUGAAUGAGUGGAUAAUUGGAUGAAUGGUUAGAUGAAUAAAUUUUUUUCUUUUUUAGCGAUUACCGAGUUAGCAUCAUUUCUGGAUUUUUUUAUAUGAUUGGACUAAAAUGUAUCUUCCAGCAUAUCUUCACUUGUCAUUUUGCUUUCAUUUUGUGGGUUUGUGUAUUCUGAUUUUAGGUUCUAAUAUAUGAUAUGUUUUACUUCAACAUAAAUAUGAAGCCUUUUUCUUUUUCAAAUUGUUAAUUGAUUCUUUGAAAAGUAUGCAGUGUUGAAAGAGGGACCUGGCCUUAAAGGAAGUGAGGGUAAAAAGGAAGCAUUUACUGAGAUAUUGACAGGUUUGGCUAAAACAGUGUAGAGGAAGCUGAUAGAAGUUGUUUUUCUCUGGGCCACUUUUCCUGCAGGGAGAAGAUUUGCCAGCUUCUUCAUUGAUCAGAAAUGUCUGUGCAGGAGGGAACAAAAGCACCUCAGACUCUGAAUCCUUGAGUUUAGCCCACCUCAUGGACAUCUCUUCUACUGCAUUAAAAAAAAAAAUCAAAUUCUAAUCCUCUCUCCAGAGCCAGAGGCUUAUGGUAGCUGUCCAAAUCCUGAUGUUUUACUCCCUCCAUUCUCCCUGUCUCUGUCUUACUUUUACUCCAUCUCUGCCAUAGAGGUUAAAGCACUGACUUGCCCAAGGUUGCAGAGUUCAAGCCUCCUGCCUUUCAGUUUGCUACAGCCUCAUCAUUUUGUAGGCAUGUUGGUGACUCCCAUCUGUACCAACAAAAGUAAAGGUGUUUUUUUAAGACGUGAUUUAAAAUGAGAGCUUUCGAGUGAAAAAGUCUCCAAAAGCAAAGACCUUUUUUCCAGAAGGAAAACAUUUACUGAACUGAAACUUUAAAGAAAGCAUGUUGCUUUUGUUGACGGUCUCAUGCAUCAGAGCUUUGUUUUCUGCAUUACUCUAAAAAGCAGGCAGCUUGAACCUAAGUCUUAAGUAUGUUCAACGCAGGAGUCCUGGUUCUGGGGGCUAUACAGAUAUAAAACAGUUUCAAAAACACACCACACCUCUAAAAAUACUCCAGAAGGUAAAACCAGGUUAGAAGUUUCCCUUGAGCUUUUAGCACAUAGGGGACACAAUGAAAGUCAAAGGUAGCUGUAAAUCUUUCUUUAAACUUGAGCUGUCAACGUGGAAUUUUAACUGAACAGAACUGACAUUACUAGAUAAAAAUGUAGGUGCUAAAAACACGUCAUAUGAUGUAGAAGUAUCUCUAUGUAGUAAAUAUUUUGGAAAACUGCAUGAUCUCUGUCAUAUAUCUCAAAUUAUGGGUUUGGAAGGACUAUAAAGGCU